AGUAGACUCAAUGUUAAUGUAGCUCACUGCAGUGAAAUAGUCUUACUGGAAACAAAGCCCUUUAUCAAGAAUAAUUAACUCUUCCCUUUUCUUUUUGGAGAGGUGCUUUGUUUCUGAUCGGACCAUUUCACUGCAGCAAGCAACACAGUAUUCUGAGCAGAAGAUCGGGACUUGAGGCCAUGUUGCGGAGGGCCAGUGACAUUAUCUGGACUCUGGAGUGUGAGGAAUAUGGACUCCACUCUUCACUAUAUUCACAACGAUUCAGACUUGAGCAACAAUAGCAGUUUUAGCCCUGAUGAGGAAAGGAGAACUAAAGUACAAGAUGUUGUCCCUCAGGCGUUGUUAGAUCAGUACUUAUCUAUGACUGACCCUUCUCGCGCACAGACGGUCGACACGGAAAUUGCUAAGCACUGUGCGUACAGCCUCCCCGGUGUGGCCCUGACACUCGGAAGACAGAAUUGGCACUGCCUGAGAGAGACGUACGAGACUCUGGCCUCAGACAUGCAGUGGAAAGUUCGACGAACUCUAGCAUUCUCCAUCCACGAGCUUGCAGUUAUUCUUGGA
rnacentral:sRNA from 1 species